rnacentral:lncRNA from 1 species
UGAUGGAUCCUCUCAAGUUGCUAUGUACAGCUACUUCUGCAUCUGACCACGUGUCCUCCCCCGAGCUUGAAGAAGACCAGGUCUGACUCUUCCUGGUGUGGUGAGGGCUGUGAAGGAGUUAGGUGUUCCUGCCCUGAAGGUCCAGCUCCCCACUUCCUAUUUUCUCAGGGCAGCCCACCCUCAGGGGUCAGGGAAGAGAGCCAGCCCAGCACCUUCAACCUAGAAUUUUAUGCUGAAACUAUUGAUUAAAUAUGC